CUCCAAAAAUAUAAUACAGUAAAAUAUAAAUCCAAAAGGUGAAAAAAAAAUCACUCUUGAGAGAACAUAUACUAUACUACACAUAUAUCCAAAUUGAUCUGUUGAAAAUUUGAAUCAUUUAGAUAAUCAUUGGAAUAAAUUUCUUCGAUUAGGCACAACGUUUGUAAUCCACUAAACCGAAAGCAUCGAGGGUAUCCAUGCCAUGCGCACCGAAUAAUUAGAAGCGAAAGCGAGAUUCGAGAAAAUCGAAGGAUGGAGAGAUGCAGAAAUGACUGAGCAGAGAAAAGACAGAGAAAGGGGGGCGCAUUACAAACGUUGGUAAUCUAGUUGCGAACGUAGCUCGGGGUUGGAGCCUGGAGCAACCAUGCGGAAUAAUGAUAUGUAAUCUCGAAACAACCUGCGGCCUCGCCAAGGCACACGCGAGCGGACGCGUGCGUGCACACGCGUGUGUUACACGUUACCUGCUCGCGUGUUACUAUCCCAGAAGCUGUUGCGGAAUAGGCGGAAGCGCUCGUGACCGCGGUAAAUGACACGAGCAAACGAAUCGACUGAAACGCACGCCCCUCUUCUCUCAACACCCACACCACGAGUAUCUCUCGUUCAUCACCCUAACUUUCGCCGUUGUUACUCGCAGUUUGGAUGUAUACAACGAACCGCUUCCACUCUACCGAUACCACCGCUAAUUAUAGUUUAAUAAUGAUCCGGUCGUGCGUUAGUCCGUCGACAGUAUUUUCGUCGAUGAAUUAAAAUUGUAUUGGGAGGGGUUGGUUCAAGUUUGGGAGAAUGAGUUCGGUGGAUGAUUAGCGAGACAGUAUAUGAAUGUUUUGAGAAAUGAUCUGUUGCAGUCUGAAGUUUUUUUGAUCGGUGAAAUAUGGAGAAAAAAUUGGAUGUGGAUUUUUUAAGAAAUGAACAAUGAUUUGUUGCAUGUAGAAUAUAGUAUUUUAAUGAUGGUAAGUUGUGAAAAUACUUUUAAUAAAGGCAAAUUUCAAUAUGUUUCAUUUAAAA